GCCCGAGUGGCGGAAUGGUAGACGCAGCGGAUUCAAAAUCCGCCGCCGUAAGGCGUGGGGGUUCGAGUCCCCCCUCGGGCA
rnacentral:tRNA from 1 species